rnacentral:rRNA from 1 species
GGAAUAUUGGACAAUGGGGGCAACCCUGAUCCAGCAAUGCCGCGUGGGUGAAGAAGGCCUGCGGGUUGUAAAGCCCUUUCGGUUGGGAGGAAAAGCCUGGUGCGAAGAGUGCUGGGUGUUGCCGUUACCGACAGAUGAAGCACCGGCUAACUCCGUGCCAGCAGCCGCGGUAAUACGGAGGGUGCGAGCGUUAAUCGGAAUUACUGGGCGUAAAGGGCGCGUAGGCGGCCGGGCGCGUCUGCUGUGAAAGCCCUGGGAUUAACCUGGGAAUGGCAGUGGAUACGGUCGGGCUAGAGUGCGAUAGAGGAGAGCGGAAUUCCCGGUGUAGCGGUGAAAUGCGUAGACAUCGGGAGGAACACCGGUGGCGAAGGCGGCUCUCUGGAUCGAGACUGACGCUGAGGUGCGAGAGCGUGGGGAGCA